rfam:Oryza barthii chromosome 9, whole genome shotgun sequence.
AAUAAGUGCAGUUUUGCACUAUUCAUUUUCAACGUUUGACCGUUCAUCUUAUUUGAAAAUUUUUUAUGAUUACUAUUUUUAUUGUUAUUAGAUGAUAAAAUAUAAAUGGUACUUUAUAUGUGACUAAUUUUUUUAAAAUUUUUUAUAAAUUUUUCAAAUAAGACGGACGGUCAAACGUUGGACACGGAUUUCAAUGACUGCACUUAUU